GUGCAUCUUGGCUACGCGGCCUGAUCUACAAAAUCUUGGAGCAGCCGCUUUCGUCGUAUGCCAUUAAAAAAAUUAAAACAUGCCCGUUAUUAAAAUUUGGUCAGUAGACCAAACAAUCAAGAAAGCUGUUCCAAUAAUGGACCCAACUUUAAAAAAUAUCAUUGAAAAAGGUGAGUAAAUCUAAAUUAAUUUGACUUUUCGUAAUGAAAUAUUUUUUGUGUAAUUGUAGAAUGUAGUGUAUUGUAGAAUAGACUAUAAUUGGAUACCUACUGUUAAGCAUUAAUGUGCUGACUCAAACCACAUUUAUUUUGCAGUAUGAUGUCAAUUUAAAAAUUUGACGCUUGAAGUUGACAAGAUAGAGCUGAUGCUGAACCCUGGCUGUACCUAGUGGAACUCAGGUUUGGUGCAACAUAGGCCCACGCUAUUUUGAUCAUCCGUCACAUAGAGGGAGAGCAAUACCCAAGAUAUAAUUCAUAAUCCAUUUUCUUCCAGAUGAGGUACCAUCCUAAAUAUAGUAGUUCCAUUUACUAAUCUUAUUAACUUUUUCUUUUCCAGGAACCAUUAACCAGGGUUCAAGUUGCAGAGCUAUCCGAAAUAGCUGCGCCUAACAUUGUAUUUUUAGAUAAUGAAAAUAUAAUUAUAUUACUUGCUGGUAGAAAAAACGAUUGUUAGCGAAACAGAUUCUGCCUACGUCGUUACAACUAUUGAUGGCGGCUUACUGCAACUUGAAUAUGGAAUAUCCAGUGGACUGUCAAAACACAUUAGAAUUUAUACAAAGGUAUAUUUUUAUUAAAAUAAAUCCUAAAGAAGGAAGUCAUAAGUAAUAGUUUUUGAUUUUUAAAAAGCGUUUUUCAAUUAAAAGACAUGUCAAGAUCGCUUAACUUCUUGCAAGUUCUUUCUAAUGCUAAAAAAACUAACUAUAAUUAAUGUCAGUAACAAACAUUUUCAGACAAUUCGUUACUUGAAAUGGUAUAGGUUUCACGCAUUAGAUUCACAUAGGCCUUAUUAACCGAAACUUUUAUAAGACUAAUUCAUAAGAAGUACUUAUGUACAUAAGAUAUAAUUUAUAGUGUCGUAUAUGUCUUCUACUUUUUGUACUCUGUCACAGAAUAAAUAAUAAUAAUAUGCACGUAGACGUGUAUAUACGCGUGUGCUCUAUAAUUUGAGUGUGUGAAAUUCAAUAAAUUUAUUUCUUUGUAA